rnacentral:rRNA from 1 species
AUUGAUUCUUAAUUGACUGAGCGGCGGACGGGUGAGUAACGCGUGGGUGACCUGCCCCAUACCGGGGGAUAACAGCUGGAAACGGCUGCUAAUACCGCAUAAGCGCACAGAGCUGCAUGGCUCGGUGUGAAAAACUCCGGUGGUAUAAGAUGGACCCGCGUCUGAUUAGCUAGUUGGUGAGAUAACAGCCCACCAAGGCGACGAUCAGUAGCCGACCUGAGAGGGUGACCGGCCACAUUGGGACUGAGACACGGCCCAGACUCC